rnacentral:rRNA from 1 species
AUGCAGUCGAGGGGUAACAUAGGAAAGCUUGCUUUUCUGAUGACGACCGGCGCACGGGUGCGUAACGCGUAUACAACCUACCUUUUAGCGGGGAAUAGCCCAGGGAAACUUGGAUUAAUGCCCCAUAGUAUAUGGACUUCUCCUGAAGUUUAUAUUAAACAUUUAUGGCUAUUAGAUGGGUAUGCGUCCUAUUAGUUAGUUGGUAAGGUAACGGCUUACCAAGGCAGCGAUAGGUAGGGGUCCUGAGAGGGAGAUCCCCCACACUGGUACUGAGACACGGACCAGACUCCUACGGGAGGCAGCAGUGAGGAAUAUUGGACAAUGGGCGAGAGCCUGAUCCAGCCAUGCCGCGUGCAGGAAGACUGCCCUAUGGGUUGUAAACUGCUUUUACAGAGGAAGAACCACCCCCACGUGUGGGGGUUUGACGGUACUCUGCGAAUAAGGAUCGGCUAACUCCGUGCCAGCAGCCGCGGUAAUACGGAGGAUCCAAGCGUUAUCCGGAAUCAUUGGGUUUAAAGGGUCCGUAGGCGGGCAGUUAAGUCAGUGGUGAAAGUCUUCCGCUCAACGGGAGAACUGCCAUUGAUACUGAUUGUCUUGAGUUAUUAUGAAGUGGUUAGAAUGAGUAGUGUAGCGGUGAAAUGCAUAGAUAUUACUCAGAAUACCGAUUGCGAAGGCAGAUCACUAAUAAUAUACUGACGCUGAUGGACGAAAGCGUAGGUAGCGAACAGGAUUAGAUACCCUGGUAGUCUACGCCGUAAACGAUGGUUACUAGCUGUUCGGANCGAUUGAGANCUGAGUGGUUAAGCGAAAGUGAUAAGUAACCCACCUGGGGAGUACGUUCGCAAGAAUGAAACUCAAAGGAAUUGACGGGGGCCCGCACAAGCGGUGGAGCAUGUGGUUUAAUUCGAUGAUACGCGAGGAACCUUACCAGGGNNUAA